rnacentral:tRNA from 1 species
GCAGCCGUGGCCUACUGGCUAGGGGUUUUGGCUUGUAACCGAAGGGUUGCAGGUUCGAUCCCCGACCCAGUAGGA